rnacentral:rRNA from 1 species
AUGGCAGGUGAAGAAAACGAGUAUGAUGUUGAAGGAAAUGGGCAUCUCAAUCAGCCCGUCACACGGUUUCACUUCAACGCAUUACGUGAUCAUCUACGCCGAGAGUUCAGAAAUAGCGUUGACCCAAUUGAAGAGAAGAAAGACAAGUUGUCGAGAUAUUUGCAGCAACUUAUGGGUAAUGUUAAUGAGCAACUCACUCAGAACAUAGCAGCCAUGAGGACUGGUAUUGUUGUUGAUAUUGUGCAAGAGCUUCGUCAGAACCGAGAAGAUGCAAGUGUCCAUGGUGAAGAACAAAAUGUAACUGAUGGGGAAGGUGCCGUCUCCAAUGCACAAGCUAGAAGAAACCGUGCUCCUUCUCCCCAUGCCAUGAGACCUCCCGGUCCCGGACAUGGAAAUGAUCAUGGUAAUGGACGUGGUCAUUAUGAAGCUGCUGCUGGUCGUGGUCUUAGAGGAGGCCACCGAAGAGCAAAUCUGCACCAUGAAGGUAGUGGAGAUGAGUUUGAUGAAGAUGAAGAAGGCAUGCACCAGAAUGACAGAUUUCAUCAUCGUAGAAACUAUGGUCGUGGACGGCAGGAGGAGGAGAGGUUU